rnacentral:rRNA from 1 species
AGAGCGAACGCUGGCGGCAGGCCUAACACAUGCAAGUCGAGCGCCCGUAGCAAUACGGGAGCGGCAGACGGGAUAGUAACACGUGGGAACGCGCCCUUCGGUUCGGAAUAACUCAGGGAAACUUGAGCUAAUACCGGAUACGCCCUUACGGGGAAAGAUUUAUUGCCGAAGGAACGGCCCGCGUCCGAUUAGCUAGUUGGUGAGGUAAUGGCGCACCAAGGCGACGAUCGGUAGCUGGUCUGAGAGGAUGAUCAGCCACAUUGGGACUGAGACACGGCCCAAACUCCUACGGGAGGCAGCAGUGGGGAAUAUUGGACAAUGGGCGCAAGCCUGAUCCAGCCAUGCCGCGUGAGUGAUGACGGCCUUAGGGUUGUAAAGCUCUUUCGCUCGGGACGAUAAUGACGGUACCGAGAUAAGAAGCCCGGCUAACUUCGCGCCAGCAGCCGC